CCAUACAUAUUUUAGUUGACCGCCCUCUCACUCUCUCUCAUUUGCGUCUCUUCCUCUUCGAAUAAACCAAACCAAACCAAAUUGGAGCUCAGAAUCUCUCUCAUCUGUCUCUCACUUUUUCUUCUGGCCAGAUCUGUGUGCUUUCUCGUUUUCUCCCUCAGCCCCUCUUUUCCUAUCUCACCGAUCUCAAUGUUACCCACCAAAUUGAGUUUCGAAGAACUUGGUGGCCACUGGGUUGACCUGGAUCUACAACCUCCAGAACCCACAUCAACAACCUCCCAAAGCUCCUCUCCUACGUCACACCAACCUCGCCGCCUCAGUACGUCGUCGAAUCAAACUACCGAUUACACCCAUCAUCAUCUCACCUACAUCUACCCAAAACUCAAUCACUUUCUCACCCAUCCUUGCUUGCUGAGAACAGAGAAGUCAGACAUGGCCACGGGAUAGAAGCCAUUGAUAUUCUCAUCUCCAUUCUAGUAUCAAAAAUCAAAGGUUUGGGCUUUGGAGUCUAGAUUGGGAUCAGUUCACCGCUACGGUAUGGAAUUGAGGAAAGAUAGAGGAGUGGAGCUGGAUUUUGAUCGAAAAACUCUGGCAAGUGAAAGGUUGGAGUUGUCCAGUACGUUAGGUGAAGCAGAGAGAUUUUGGGUGAAGGCUUUGGGUGAAGUCUCCUUGACUGGGUAUUGAUCAAAUUCAGGGUCUAGUCACAGGAGAGAGGAAAAAUAUUAAUACUAUCAUACUAUGUUUGCAUUCCUGCUUCUGCUGGCGUAUAAAAUUCAUAUGCAGCAGGAGUAUCUUCUUUGAAUCCAGGAGUAUCUUCAUUGAAUCCUUUUGCAUGCAGCAGCGUACAUUCUCCUUUCCAAAAGGAAGGCAGAUGAUAGAACUUUUAUUGAAUUUGAAGAAGUUACUACUGAAGCAUCCACAAAUGAAGAGGAUGAAGAUUGGAAAACAUUAGAUGCUUCCUUGUGUUCUAAUUUGUAUAGAUGAUUGGAAAAUAUUGCUAAUAAUACAUUUGGUACUUUAAUAAAUAGAUCGGAGUAGUUCAAUU